rnacentral:rRNA from 1 species
GUGUCAGCCGCCGCGGUAACACGAACCGUACGAACGUUAUUCGGAAUCACUGGGCUUAAAGGGUGCGUAGGCGGCCUGGUAAGUUGGGUGUGAAAUCCCUCGGCUUAACCGAGGAAUUGCGCUCAAAACUGCCAGGCUAGAGGAAGUCAGAGGUGAGUGGAACUUAGGGUGGAGCGGUGAAAUGCGUUGAUAUCCUAAGGAACACCAGUGGCGAAAGCGACUCACUGGGGCUUUUCUGACGCUGAGGCACGAAAGCUAGGGGAGCGAACGGGAUUAGAUACCCCCGUAGUCC